UACGUAGGGGGCUAGCGUUGUCCGGAAUCAUUGGGCGUAAAGAGCGUGUAGGCGGCCCGGUAAGUCCGCUGUAAAAGUCAAAGGCUCAACCUUUGAAUGUCAGUGGAUACUGCCGGGCUAGAGUCCGGGAGAGGCGAGUGGAACUCCUGGUGUAGCGGUGGAAUGCGCAGAUAUCAGGAAGAACACCGACGGCGAAGGCAGCUCGCUGGGACGGUACCGACGCUGAGACGCGAAAGCGUGGGGAGCGAACAGG
rnacentral:rRNA from 1 species